rnacentral:rRNA from 1 species
AUUGAACGCUGGCGGCAGGCCUAACACAUGCAAGUCGAGCGGUAACAUUUCUAGCUUGCUAGAAGAUGACGAGCGGCGGACGGGUGAGUAAUGCUUGGAAAUCUGCCUGGUAGUGGGGGACAGCAGUUGGAAACGACUGCUAAUACCGCAUAACCUCUUCGGAGCAAAGUGGGGGACCUUCGGGCCUCACGCUACCAGAUGAGUCCAAGUGGGAUUAGCUAGUUGGUAAGGUAAAAGCGUACCAAGGCGACGAUCAGUAGCUGGUCUGAGAGGAUGAGCAGCCACACUGGGACUGAGACACGG